ensembl:lncRNA
AGGAGUUGCCUGAUAGGUUGGAGAAAGCACAAGGAAGCCAGGGCUGCUGGAACAGAGUGAAUGAGGCGAUCAUGUAGAGUCUUAUAAGCCAUUGCAAAGACUUUGGCUUUGACUUUGAGGUAGAUGAGAAGCUAUUAAGAAAGUUUGAGCAGAAGGAUGACAUGAUCUGAUUUUUCAUUUUAACCAAAGCAACUCUGUAUGCUGUGUUGAAAAUAAGCUACAAUGGGACUUGCAUUGCAGGAAAACCAGUUAGGAGGCUGCUGUAAUAAUCCAGGUGAGAGAUGAUGGUGGCUCGGACCAUGGUGGUAGUAAGGGAGGUGCUGAGAAGAGGUUAGAAUCUAGUUAUAUUUUGGAGGAGAUUGAACAGAAUUUACUGAUAAAUUGGAUGUGAAGUAUUUGAGAAAGGGAGGAAUCAAAGGUGACACCAAGGUUCUGGGCCUGAGCAACUGGAAGAAUGGAGAUGCAGUUUACUAACAUAGUGAGGACUACAGGAGUAGCAGGUUUCAGCAGUGGGCACAGGUGGAGAAGGGAAUUCCAAUGUUGAAAAUUGAGAGAGGUAAGGAUAAAGCUGCAGUGGAGAUUGAGGAGGAGAGGCCAGUGAGGUGGAAGAGGAUCAGGAGUGGAUGGAGUACCAGACACCAGCUGAAGCACAUAUUUCCAGGAGGAGGAAGUGGUACACAGUGUGAAAUGCUUCUGCUGACGUUAUGCUGCCAACAUGAUGCUGUUGAUCACAGAGUUGGAAAGAGUUGCUACCAAUUGGUCCCUGUGAACGAGUGUGAGCUGUCUCCAUCACACCACUGCAGGAAACGAUGACAAACAACAAAAACAAAAAGAGUAUCCAGUGGAGGACUCUGAGGCCCUAGAGGAUGAUGAAGCCAGUAAAUGCAAGGAAGCUGGAUUCCUGAGUCCCCAUUUGGAGGAGAGCUGCCCUGGAGAGCUGCCAGGACCAUGUGAAUUAGACUUUGCACAAAGGAGAAAUAAGCUUUUACUGUGUUAAGUCACUGAGAUUUGGAGAUUAUUUGUUAUAGCUACAGCUGUUAGCCUACCCUGACUAACACAGUGAUCUUUGAGGACCUCCUUACUUACCAUAGCGACUUGUACAUAGGGGGGUACUUAGUAAAUGUUUGUUGAUUAAGUUAAUUUUGUCCUAUUUUAAUCUGUCUUUAUUCAUAAUUGUCAGACGGUAAUGUUUUUAGGCAUAGGACUGAGGUUUCAACUCAAGUCCCAACCCUUGUUUUAUGAAACAUUAGAGAGUUCUAAUAAUCUUAGAUGACCUUAGUAUUUUCAAAAUAAAAUUGGUUUUAAUUACUGUUUUAAAAAAUAUGCCCUAUAAUACCUUUAGGACCAAGGUGGGUGGGAUUGGAAAUAGGGUACCCUAUUGCCCAAAAGAUUGGGAGUUUCUGCCUUAGAAUAUGGAUAUGAAUUCAAUGUUUUCACAAUGUUUCAAAGACCUUAAAUGAUUUAGACUCUACUCUAGACUAGACCAUCCUUCUGCUUCCAGAAGGAACUGUUUUUUACCCUCAUAGACACAAUAGCUGUUUAUACCUUAUAAAAUAACAACAGCAAGCCUCCCGAGGUGCGGUUUCCCUUAGGUAUUGUAUUCUAGGGUCUUAGAACUUUCAUAUUCCGGAAACUCUUCUUUGGGGAGGAUCAAAUAAAAUAUUAUAUGUUAAAGGCCUUUGAAAACAUUAAAGUGC